GACGAACGCUGGCGGCGUGGAUUAGGCAUGCAAGUCGAACGGUAUCAUCCUUUCGGGGGUGAGAGAGUGGCGAACUGGUGAGUAACACGUAGGUUAUCUACCCUCAAGACGGGGACAACCCAGGGAAACUUGGGCUAAUACCGGAUGUGAGCAACUUUUAGUUGUUUGAAAGGUGGCGUAAGCUGUCGCUUGGGGAUGAGCCUGCGUCCUAUUAGUUAGUUGGUGAGGUAACGGCUCACCUAGGCAAUGAUAGGUAGGCGGCCUUAACGGGUGGUCGCCCACACUGGGAUUGGGAUACGGCCCAGACUCCUACGGGAGGCAGCAGUCGAGAAUAGUCUACAAUGGUCGGAAGACUGAUAGUGCGACGCCGCGUGAACGAUGAAUCCCUUCGGGGUGUAAAGUUCUUUUAUAUGUGAGCAGUGCUUCUUAUAUUAACAGUAUGGGGAAGAGAUAUUAGCAUAUGAAUAAGCAACGGCUAAACUCCGUGCCAGCAGCCGCGGUAAU
rnacentral:rRNA from 1 species